GUGGCAAACGGGUGAGUAACACGUGGGUGACCUGCCUUCGAGUGGGGGAUAACGUCCCGAAAGGGACGCUAAUACCGCAUGACAUCCUGCCUUUGAAGAGGUGGAGCUUAAAGCUGGGGAUCGCAAGACCUAGCGCUUGAAGAGGGGCCCGCGCCUGAUUAGCUAGUUGGUGAGGUAAUGGCUCACCAAGGCAACGAUCAGUAUCCGGCCUGAGAGGGCGGACGGACACACUGGGACUGAGACACGGCCCAGACUCCUACGGGAGGCAGCAGUGGGGAAUUGUUCGCAAUGGGCGCAAGCCUGACGACGCAACGCCGCGUGGAGGAUGAAGACCUUCGGGUCGUAAACUCCUUUCGAUCGAGACGAACGGCCCUUGGGCUAAUCACCAGGGGAGUGACGGUACCGAGAGAAGAAGCCCCGGCUAACUCCGUGCCAGCAGCCGCGGUAAUACGAGGGGGGCAAGCGUUGUUCGGAAUUACUGGGCGUAAAGGGCUCGUAGGUGGCCAACUAAGUCAUACGUGAAAUCCCUCGGCUUAACCGGGGAACUGCGUCUGAUACUGGAUGGCUUGAGGUUGGGAGAGGGAUGCGGAAUUCCAGGUGUAGCGGUGAAAUGCGUAGAUAUCUGGAGGAACACCGGUGGCGAAGGCGGCAUCCUGGACCAAUUCUGACACUGAGGAGCGAAAGCCAGGGGAGCAAACGGGAUUAGAUACCCCGGUAGUCCUGGCCCUAAACGAUGAAUGCUUGGUGUGGCGGGUAUCGAUCCCUGCCGUGCCG
rnacentral:rRNA from 1 species